rnacentral:rRNA from 1 species
GGCGGCCGUAACUAUAACGGUCCUAAGGUAGCGAAAUUCCUUGUCGGGUAAGUUCCGACCUGCACGAAUGGCGUAAUGAUGGCCAGGCUGUCUCCACCCGAGACUCAGUGAAAUUGAACUCGCUGUGAAGAUGCAGUGUACCCGCGGCAAGACGGAAAGACCCCGUGAACCUUUACUAUAGCUUGACACUGAACAUUGAGCCUUGAUGUGUAGGAUAGGUGGGAGGCUUUGAAGCGUGGACGCCAGUCUGCGUGGAGCCGACCUUGAAAUACCACCCUUUAAUGUUUGAUGUUCUAACGUGGAYCCGURAUCCGGGUUGCGGACAGUGUCUGGUGGGUAGUUUGACUGGGGCGGUCUCCUCCUAAAGAGUAACGGAGGAGCACGAAGGUUGGCUAAUCCUGGUCGGACAUCAGGAGGUUAGUGCAAUGGCAUAAGCCAGCUUGACUGCGAGCGUGACGGCGCGAGCAGGUGCGAAAGCAGGUCAUAGUGAUCCGGUGGUUCUGAAUGGAAGGGCCAUCGCUCAACGGAUAAAAGGUACUC